rnacentral:sRNA from 1 species
UGAUGAGGAAGGAGUUAUCGACUCGG